rnacentral:rRNA from 1 species
GUAAGGUGAGAGGAAGGUGGGGAAUGACGUCAAAUCAGCACGGCCCUUAUGUCCAGGGCUACACACGUGUUACAAUGGCCAGUACAAAGGGCAGCUACCGGGUGACCGGAUGCUAAUCUCUAAAGCUGGUCUCAGUUCGGAUCGAAGUCUGCAACCCGACUUCGUGAAGCUGGAUUCGCUAGUAAUCGCGGAUCAGCAUGUCGCGGUGAAUACGUUCCCGGGUCCUU